rnacentral:lncRNA from 1 species
UCGAACACUAAGCCGGUAGUACAUGGACUACUUCAUGCACUAAUCGAGGUGACCAUCUAGCAAUGAUACCCGACAUCCGGAUAGGUCGAAUAUGCAAAGCAACAUUCAAGAACCUAGACGUAUCGUUGUUGCAUAAUUCAUCCCUAUGACCAUCGAUGCUCAAGAUGACCUCAGAGUGGACUGUCGAACUCUGGGUCCGGUCAUCCAUAGUGUAUUUCAAUUAAUCAAAUCAAGUG